rnacentral:rRNA from 1 species
AUUGAACGCUGGCGGCAUGCUUUACACAUGCAAGUCGAACGGCAGCGCGGGCUUCGGCCUGGCGGCGAGUGGCGAACGGGUGAGUAAUGCAUCGGAACGUGCCCAGGAGUGGGGGAUAGCCCGGCGAAAGCCGGAUUAAUACCGCAUACGACCUGAGGGUGAAAGCGGGGGACCGAAAGGCCUCGCGCUAUUGGAGCGGCCGAUGUCGGAUUAGCUAGUUGGUGGGGUAAAGGCUUACCAAGGCGACGAUCCGUAGCUAGUCUGAGAGGACGACCAGCCACACUGGGACUGAGACACGGCCCAGACUCCUACGGGAGGCAGCAGUGGGGAAUUUUGGACAAUGGGGGCAACCCUGAUCCAGCCAUGCCGCGUGCGGGAAGAAGGCCUUCGGGUUGUAAACCGCUUUUGUUCGGGAAGAAAUCCUCUGGGCUAAUACCCCGGGGGGAUGACGGUACCGGAAGAAUAAGCACCGGCUAACUACGUG